rnacentral:misc_RNA from 1 species
UCUCGGCUUAUCACCGGCAGUCCCCCUAGAGUGCCCAACUGAAUGAUGGCAACUAAGGGCGAGGGUUGCGCUCGUUGCGGGACUUAACCCAACAUCUCACGACACGAGCUGACGACAGCCAUGCAGCACCUGUGUGCAGGUCUCUUGCGAGAAGGAAUCCGUCUCCGGACACCGUCCUGCCAUGUCAAGGGCUGGUAAGGUUCUGCGCGUUGCUUCGAAUUAAACCACAUGCCUGACGAGC